AUCUAGCUGAUGAAUCCUAAAUAAGACGAAACGCACGUCGCACUGGAU
rnacentral:hammerhead_ribozyme from 1 species